rnacentral:lncRNA from 1 species
GGCCGGGAAGGGCAGGGUGCCUGUGGGCCGCGUGUCCUGAGCGCAGGUCCUUCGGUCCUGGGAGGGAGCCGUGGGCGGAUUUCAGCCCUCCGGGCCGGUCAGUCUUGCUCCGAGACCCUGGAGAUGCGAUAAGCGGCAGGAGCUGGUGUCGCGCCGCGAGUUUGGGAAGAAUCCCCCGCGGCUGGGAGGCCGGACGGCCGCCCUGCCUUAAACCCAGGGCCGAUUUCUUCGGGCCUCAGCGGCCCGCCUCGCACUUUCCGGCCGCCCCGGCAGCCCCUCCUCCGGUCCACUGUUUGGCCAUCUAUCUGGCUCCUCGCCAAGCAGGGUGGCCUUGAAGCCUUAUGUUCAGAAGUCGCACCGACCUGGAGGCCCGGGUGCGCGGAAGGGCCACUGCAACGACCAGUUUACAAAGAGCCCCAGGACCAGAGGACCGGACUGCUCUUACUGUAGUUCUUGUGAAAAAGAAAAGGAGCCAAUGUUUCCAUUAAUGCUUCAAGAAUGUUCAGAACUCGACGGCGCCAAAGGAUUGCAGAGCAGAGCGGCUGAAGAGCCGUGAACAAUUCCAAAGGCUGUGGCCUCCAUUCCCAGUGAAGCCCGAAUUACAACUUGCCAACCUACUAAGCCUUCCUCCUCCUCUUUCACGUGGAUCCGCGUUUCUUGUUCUUCAUUGCUUCGUCUUCCCUUAGAGCGAAGGAAUCUGUCAUUUAACGGGGGAUACACCGAGGAGCCGAGAGUUUAUCUUUUCAGCCUGUGUCACAGUUGGAGGGAAAGUUGCUAAGUGACUUCUUAAGAAGAGAGAGAGUAGGGCAUUUUCUGUUUUCCCUUCACAAAACAUUUUGUUGUUGUUUGAGGCCUUAGUUGUUUUUUAUUUUUUCCUUCCGGUGGGCCCCCCACCCCACCCCCCGUCCAGAGAGGUUCAGGUCCCUGGAAGAGAAACUUUACCGAUGUGAUUACGUUAAGAAUCUUAAAGAGAUUAUCCUGGAUGGUCCAGUGGGCCCAGUGUAAUCGGAAAGGUCCUUACCAGUAGGAGGUGGGCGCGUCAGAGUCCAUGUGUCAAUGGAAGCAGCGGCUGGAGUGGAUGCAGUGGGAGAAAGACCCAGCCGAACAAUGAUGGCUUUGAACAUUGGAGGAAGGGGACCCAGGUCCCAGAAUGCAGGUGGCCUCGGAAAGGGAGAAAAAGUCGGGAAACAGAGUCUUCCUUUGAGCCUCCAGGGGGAACACAGUCUUGCCGACACCUUGAAUUGAGCACACUGAGACCAACUGUGGACUUGCGGCCUUCGGAGCAGGAAGGCUCCUGUUGCUCCAGUAUUCCUUCCAUUUUCUCUGCAAAGUGAAUGCCUGAGCACCAGUGAGGAAGCCGAAGCACUUGCAGAUGUCUAAAGGUCCUGAAACUGGGCUCUGGGGGGUCCAGGGUUGCUAUGGGGACCACCUGGCUUCUUCCCUCUUAACAUAGGAGGAAAUUAUUUUGUCCACCUGGUGGUGGAGGGAAAACUCCACAGCAGAGAAACCCAUCCUGCUUCUCAAGGACACUGAGGGAUGUUGAUGGGAAGAGGGAAAAGGCCCCUCCGGGUGCCGGAGGCAGGCGAGGCCAACCUCGGGGGUCCCCGCUGUGCGCCAGUGCUUCUUCAUGGACUGUCCUAAGGAAAUGUCGCUAUGGAGGUGGGGUUAGCAAUGGUCAUGCUUUGGGGCUAGACCUCAGGAACUGGCCUGAGGACAGGUGGGAAGAGAAUGGUACCCAUCACAGUUGGUUUCUCAUUUAAAAACAAACAAACAAAAACUUUGUAUCCCAUCAACAUUCUCAUUUACAGAGCCAGCACUGUCUCUGGAAUUGGAGACAGUUUCAAGUCAUAGGUCUCCACUUAGCGGUGGUGUCACUUUGGCAACUCACUUUGCCUGGAUGCGAUCCCAGUUCAUCUGCAGAACACAGAUAACACCUACCCUGCACAUCGUGGGGAAGAUAAAAAUAAUGUAUGUAAAAUACCUGGAAAAUAAGCAGCCCUCAAAUGAUAGCCAUAUUAUUCAUAAUCAAGGAAACAGGAGGUGAGGAUUUCUCAAGGUUGAGCAGCUGGUGGAUAAAUGGUGGAACCAAGACCCCAUCC